CCGGGCGGGGAAGCCCGUGCAGGGCGGGGGCGCGGCGCCUGCUUGCGCUGCCUGGCAGGAGGGGAGGGGAGGGGAGGGGCCUUUCCGGCACCCCCUGCUCUGGUCUGCCCCGGCCUGAGGUGGGGCCCCCCCCUCCGUAAAAAGAGCCCAGGCCGCAGCUCCCUGCUCACCUCUUCUGCCCCCGCAUCGAGCAGGGUUUCUAGCCUCCCCUCCCGCCCCGCGGGUGGCUCUGUGCUGGGGCACAUCCCCCCAGAUGCCCCCUCAGACAGGGUUUGAGUGGCACUACAACUCCGAGGGGCAGCACCGUACCUAGACUCCUGGCGCCCCACCUUCGCCAGAGAGAAAUGAUCAUAAUUAUUUAAAAAUGACCAUUUCAUAGAUUUCAUAGACAUUCGGGGCUGAAAGGGACCUCAUGAGAUCAUCGGGUCUGUCAUCUAUUCCAUUCACUUUCUGUCUAGUGCCGGGUUUGCCCAUGCCUGUGUCUGGCCUAGGGCGGCCCUCGAGGUACCUCAGCUGUCCCCACCACCACGAACCUCACGUGCCUCCCACGGCUCGGGGGUCACGGCGAGCUCCCACAGGCGGCGGGAGCGGGGAGCUCCUUUAGGUUGAGAAACAUUGGACUAGAUGAUCUCCUGAGGUCCCUUCCAACUCCUCACCCGCUGAGACCCAGAGGUAGGACACAGCAGAACUAGGACCUGUCAAGGCCUUGGAGGCAACAGCACUGAGUGGGCCCCUUCUCCAGUCCCAGACAAGGCUUGGCUGCUUGCUCCACAUUGAGUGACUUUGCAGAAGGAGGCGAUAGGCUCAUGGUGUGGCUGUAGGGCUGGAGUCAGACCUCCGGUGGUUCCUCUCCAGCAUCAUGGUGCUUGACUUGGAUUGAAGGGACCUCACUUCUGAUCCUGGCUUUGUGAAUUUUGGACACAUCACUCCACCUCUCUAUGCUUCAGCUUUCCUGCAUGCGAAGAUGGGGUGAUACCAAGGUGAUAGGCCCAUGGAAAAUGCCAAAGACAGCAUGACAGUGAUAUUCACUCUGCCUAAAUCUUCGUUCACCUCAAGAUAUUAGGAGUCUGGUUUCAAAGCCAAAAGGGACCACUGGACUCUCCAAUAUAGCCUGCUGUAUAACAUGGGCCAGGGAAUUUCAUCCAGUUACUUCUGUAUUGAGCCCCAUAACUUAGGUUUGAUAAUAGUAUUUCUUUCCGAAAGGCAUCCAGUGUCGAUCUGAAGAUUUCAACAGCAGAACAAUUCACUGUGAACUGGUAUGAUGGACCUGAGUGAAAUUUUUGUCUUCAGUAGUGCUCAUUCACAUCUGUUUCUGAGCCUGGAGUCAGUAGAGGGGUGGUGGACUCUCUAGGGGACUGCAUCCUGCUGUAAUGUUUCUGUUUUCCACCAGACCUGAAUAACAGCAACAUUCUGCUAUAGAAGGAUAGCCCAUUUAUCAUGUUACCCAUUCCUUUGUAACUUUUGUGUUGUAGCGGUACCUCUGAGGUGCAUACUGACAUGAUGAAUCCUCAUGUUCAAGGUGUACAACUAAGUGCUAUUAAGUAUGAAACAUAAAAUGAUAGAGUCAGAAUUGGAAGGGACCUCAAAGGUUACUUAACCAACCCCACAGCGCAAAUACAGGAUGUGCUAGUCUGUUUCAAAACUUUUACUGGAGGAGGUUCCAUAGCUUCUCUAUGUUGCUUGUAUUACUGUACUUAGAUAGGAAGUUCUUCCUGAGAUUUAAUCUGAAUCUGCUCUUCCGUCAUGUAAACCCAUUGCCUUGUGGCCUGCCCUCUCUGGCAAGGCAGAACAAUAUUUCUCCAACAUUUGGCAGCCUUUUAAAUAUUUGAAGACUGCUAUCUAAUAUUUGAAGCCAUGCAAAUAUUUGAAGACCGCCACCCUUAAUCUCCUUUUCUCCUGACUAACCAUAUCUAGGUCUCUCCAUCGUUCCUUACACAGCUUGCCUUCUAAAACCUUUGUCAUCGUUGUUGCUUAUCUCUGGAUGCUUCAGGGUCUCUAUCUCCUUCUUAAACUGUGGUGCUUAGAACUUGACACAAUACUCUGGCUGAGGCCCAACUAGCACCAAGUACAGUGGUAUUAUUACCUCCCAUGCUUUGCAUAUAAUACUUUUGCUUUGCUAUUUUUUUUGUAACAGCAUCACACGGCCAACUCAUGUUGAUCUUGUGCUUCACCAUAACCCCAGCUCUUUUGUGGGUAUGCUACUGCUUAGCUAGUUAUCCCCAAUUUUGUACAUUUGGGUUUGACUUUCUUUCUCUUGUGUGUCACACCUUACACUUGCCUUUGUUGAAUUUCAUCUAGUAAUUGAUAGCCCAGUUCUCCAUUUUGGCAAGAUUCCUUUGAACUUUAAAUCUGUUCUCCAAAGUGUUGGCAACCUCCCACCCAGUUUUGUAUCAAUCUGUACCAAAGCCAUUAAUAAAAAUGUUAAACAUCACUGGGCCCAGAACAAAUCCCUGUGGAAUUCCACUUUGAGACUUCCUGCCUUUAUAACACUGAUUCAUUCACAGUUACUCUUUGCUUAUGGUUAUUCAAGCAUCAACAUGUCUACUUCACAAUAAUUUUAUCAAGCCCACAUUUCUACAAUUACUCAUAAGGAUUUGUUCUGGAUCUUGAUUCACAUAUUCACACUCUCUUUUCGUGUGAUACUGUACCAAAAGACAAAAGUCUGUAUGUUAUGACCACUGCAUUCCCCUCUGCAUCUGUCAAGAUGUUGGAUGGUCAUUCAUUCAUGCAUUCCCCUCACCCACUUAACUAGUUAUUCUGUCAAAGAACAAAAUCAAGUUGGUUGGGUAUGGUUUAUCCAUAAUAAAUUCAUAUAGGCUCCUAGUGAUCAUUCCUUUGUCUUUCAGGUCUUCACAGAUGGACUGUGUUACAAUUUGCUCUUGGAAGUUGGGCUGACUGGUUUAUAAAUGCAUUGUCUUCUAUGUGGCCCUUUUUAAAGAUGAGCACUAGGUUAGCCUUUCUUCAGUCCUCUGGGACUUCACCUGCCAUCCAUCACUUUGUAAAUAUUAUUGCCAGUAGCUCUGGGAUUUUUACAGCAGUUUCUGCAGCAUCCUGGGAUAAAUGUCACCAGUGCUUGCUAAUUUAAAUAGAUUCAAAUUUAUCAAAAGUUCUUUAUUUUUUAUGAUUUGAAGCCCUUUCCCUUCUUUGUUUAUAUUUAUUUUGUUAGUUGUCUGAUUGGAGGGGGGAGGAUGCUUUGUUUUCUUUUUUAGAAGUAGUCAGGUGCCAGCUCUGCUUUUUUUGGAUCUUCCAUUAAUAGCAUACCCACACCAUUGAACAUUGGAUUUACAGUUUCACUAGUCUUUCUUUUCUGUCUGACCUUCCUUGCCAGUUGCAUCUCAUUUUUCACCUUUGCUUUCCUGAUUUUGUCCUUAUAUAUUUUUGCUAUAUCCCUUGGUAUACUUUCUUAGUGACUCACCCUGGGCCUUUUUCUCCUUCCACCUAUUAGGAUAAAACUGGUUAAAACAAUCCCUUAGGAACUGCCAUUCCUGAUCUGGCCCAGGGUCCAUGUGACAGGGACAAGCUAUUUCAGAGGAAGUCUUAUUAACUACAUUAUUGCAUAUUUCAUACAAUAACAGCAUGGAAGUGAGCAUUCUGGAGGAAGGACUGCAUUUGGCUUUGAGAGAAGAGUGGAAGUGCUGUAUUUUUCUCUAGAGAUCUGGUUGUAAUAGUCCAGGAUAUAGUCUGGGUUCAUCAGAUUUUGUGUGUCAAUGCUAAAGUGGAUUAGGGUGGUAACUGCUCCACAUGUCACAUACCAUUUGCUAUGUUCAUAGAUAACACACUCCCACUCUCUCCUACAUGGUAUACAUGACAGAGUGUCAGUACAAAGAGGACAGGAAGGGCAUGGCUGUGUAUUUUCACAUGCUACUUUUAUUCCUUUUUCACAGAUGGAUGAAAGAACCCUGGAUCUACCCAGCCACAGCCUUUUGGUUUAUUUUUCCUUUUUGGUUGACAUUUUACUGAGCAUUUUAUUAUUUUAGAUAAAAAUCAUCUUUAAUUUCACACUGUGAGAUUGUUCUUAUUGCUCACUGAAAGGUUUUGCUCUGGAUCUUGAUUCACAUAUUCAUACUCUCUUUAUGUGCAUGAUGGAAAUCAGUCCUCUGGACCUCUCUCUAACUGGGACCAAACAAAUUCCUGUUUCAAAAAAAUGGGUCUGGUGGGUAAAUCAUUUAUUGUCACACAUGUCUGCCAUUGAUCCCUAGUUAGGAUGUCCUUUUGUGUUAUAGAAUAUUUAUUUUAUUCUGCACCUUGUGUAGUAAAUGGAAGACAGCAUCUUGAACUACAGAUAUAU